UCGCUUCCGUAGGGUGAACCUGCGGAAGGAUCAUUACCGAGUGCGGGCCCCUCGGGGCCCAACCUCCCACCCGUGUUGCCCGAACCUAUGUUGCCUCGGCGGGCCCCGCGCCCGCCGACGGCCCCCCUGAACGCUGUCUGAAGUUGCAGUCUGAGACCUAUAACGAAAUUAGUUAAAACUUUCAACAACGGAUCUCUUGGUUCCGGCAUCGAUGAAGAACGCAGCGAAAUGCGAUAACUAAUGUGAAUUGCAGAAUUCAGUGAAUCAUCGAGUCUUUGAACGCACAUUGCGCCCUCUGGUAUUCCGGAGGGCAUGCCUGUCCGAGCGUCAUUGCUGCCCUCAAGCCCGGCUUGUGUGUUGGGCCCCGUCCCCCCCGCCGGGGGGACGGGCCCGAAAGGCAGCGGCGGCACCGCGUCCGGUCCUCGAGCGUAUGGGGCUUCGUCACCCGCUCUAGUAGGCCCGGCCGGCGCCAGCCGACCCCCAACCUUUAAUUAUCUCAGGUUGACCUCGGAUCAGGUAGGGAUACCCGCUGAACUUAAGCAUAUCAAUAAGACGGAGGAAAC
rnacentral:rRNA from 1 species